UACGUAGGGGGGCAAGCGUUGUCCGGAUUUAUUGGGCGUAAAGAGCGUGUAGGCGGCCAGGUAGGUCUGCUGUGAAAACUCGAGGCUUAACCUCGAGAUGUCGGCGGAAACCAUCUGGCUAGAGUCCGGAAGAGGAGAAUGGAAUUCCCGGGUGUAGCGGUGAAAUGCGCAGAUAUCGGGAAGAACACCCCGUGGCGGAAGGCGGUUCUCUGGGACGGUACUGACGCUGAGACGCGAAAGCGUGGGGAGCGAACAGG
rnacentral:rRNA from 1 species